AACGCGAAGAACCUUACCAAGGCUUGACAUGAACCGGAACGGCGCAGAGAUGUGUCGGCCACUUGUGGCCGGUUUACAGGUGGUGCAUGGUUGUCGUCAGCUCGUGUCGUGAGAUGUUGGGUUAAGUCCCGCAACGAGCGCAACCCUCGUUCCAUGUUGCCAGCGAGUUAUGUCGGGGACUCUAGGGAGACUGCCGGUGACAAAUCGGAGGAAGGUGGGGAUGAUGUCAAGUCACCAUGCCCCUUAUGCUCAGGGCUACAAACGUGCUACAUUGGCCGGUACAAAGGGCGGCGAACCCGCGAGGGGGAGCGAAUCCCAAAAAGCCGGUCCCGGUUCGGAUUCGAGGCUGAAACUCGCCUCGAUGAAGGCGGAGUUGCUAGUAAUCGCGGAUCAGCAACGCCGCGGUGAAUACGUUCCCGGGCCUUGUACACACCG
rnacentral:rRNA from 1 species